AGUGAAUAGAUACCCGGGUAGUCCACGCCCUAAACGAUGGAUACUAGGCGUAGGAGGUAUCGACCCCUCCUGUGCCGCAGCAAAAACGCAUUAAGUAUCCCGCCUGGGGAGUACGGCCGCAAGGUUGAAACUCAAAUGAAUUGACGGGGACCCGCACAAGCGGUGGAGCAUGUGGAUUAAUUCGAUACUAACCGAAGAACCUUACCCACUCUUGACAUUGAAGGAAAGCUCUAGAGAUAGGGCCCUCUCCCACAAGGAGACCUGAAAAACAGAUGUUGCAUGGCUGUCGUCAGCUCGUGCCGUGAGGUGUACGGUUAAGUCCGCCAACGAGCGCAACCCUCGUUCUGUGUUACCAGCGAGUAAAGUCGGGCACUCACAGGAGACCGCCGGUGUAAGCCGGAGGAAGGUGGGGAUGAUGUCAAGUCAGCAUGGCUCUUACGAGUGGGGCUUCACACAUGCUACAAUGGGCGCAACAAAGGGCCGCGAUACCGUGAGGUGGAGCAAAUCCCAAAAAUACGUCCUCAGUUCAGAUUGCA
rnacentral:rRNA from 1 species